UGGACAUUGCAAUAGGAAUCGUUUCAUGC
rnacentral:piRNA from 1 species